AUACUUACCUGGCAGGGGAGACACCAUGAUCACGUAGGUGGUUUUCCCAGGGUGAGGCUCCGCCAUUGCACUUGGGCUGUGCUGACCCCUGCGAUUUCCCCAAAUGCGGGAAACUCGACUGCAUAAUUUGUGGUAGUGGGGGACUGCGUUCGCGCUCUCCCCUG
rnacentral:snRNA from 1 species